UUCCGGUUGAUCCUGCCGGACCCUACUGCUAUCGGGGUGGGACUAAGACAUGCGAGUUGAGCGUCUCUAAGCUAUGGUAGAGACGCGGCGUACGGCUCAGUAACACGUGGCUAACCUACCCUUAGGACGGGGACAACCCCGGGAAACUGGGGCUAAUACCCGAUAGGCGAGGAGGCCUGGAAUGGUUCUUAGUCGAAAAGGCGUUGAAACCAUGCUUUUCGACGUCGCCUAAGGAUGGGGCCGCGCCCGAUCAGGUUGUUGGUGGGGUAACGGCUCACCAAGCCUAUAACCGGUACGGGCCGUGAGAGCGGGAGCCCGGAGAUGGGCACUGAGACAAGGGCCCAGGCCCUACGGGGCGCAGCAGUCGCGAAAACUCCGCAAUGCGCGAAAGCGUGACGGGGCUACCCCGAGUGCCGUCCGCUGAGGAUGGCUUUUCUCCGGUGUAAUGAGCCGGGGGAAUAAGGAGAGGGCAAGUCUGGUGUCAGCCGCCGCGGUAAUACCAGCUCUCCGAGUGGUAGGGAUGAUUAUUGGGCUUAAAGCGUCCGUAGCCGGCUUAGCAAGUCUCCUGUUAAAUUCAGCGACCUAAUCGUUGAGCCGCGGGAGAUACUACUAGGCUAGGAGGCGGGAGAGGCCGACGGUAUUCUCGGGGUAGGGGUGAAAUCCUAUAAUCCCGGGAGGACCACCAGUGGCGAAGGCUGUCGGCUAGAACGCGCUCGACGGUGAGGGACGAAAGCUGGGGGAGCGAACCGGAUUAGAUACCCGGGUAGUCCCAGCUGUAAACGAUGCGGGCUAGGUGUUGGGGUGGCUACGAGCCACUUCAGUGCCGCAGGGAAGCCAUUAAGCCCGCCGCCUGGGGAGUACGGCCGCAAGGCUGAAACUUAAAGGAAUUGGCGGGGGAGCACCACAAGGCGUGAAGCUUGCGGUUCAAUUGGAUUCAACGCCGGG
rnacentral:rRNA from 1 species